ACCCGCAUUGUAUAGCGCGCAAAACUCGGGUCAGUGCCACACCUACGACGCAGCAUUGACUUCGACUGGCCUACUUACGCAACGUUCGUUGACCUCUAGCAUCAGUCAGAUGUUUUAUUUGCAAUAUAUUGUGAACUUUAGCAAAAUGACAAGAUGUUUU